rnacentral:rRNA from 1 species
UGCUGCAUGGUUGUCGUCAGCUCGUGCCGUGAGGUGUCGGGUUAAGUCCCAUAACGAGCGCAACCCUUAUCGUUAGUUGCCAGCGGGUCAUGCCGGGAACUCUAACGAAACUGCCGGUGUAAACCGUGAGGAAGGUGGGGAUGACGUCAAAUCAGCACGGCCCUUAUGUCCAGGGCUACACACGUGUUACAAUGGCCGGUACAGAGGGCAGCUACCUGGAGACAGGAUGCGAAUCUCGAAAGCCGGUCUCAGUUCGGAUCGGAGUCUGCAACUCGACUCCGUGAAGCUGGAUUCGCUAGUAAUCGCGCAUCAGCCAUGGCGCGGUGAAUACGUUCCCGGGCCUU